UACGUAGGGCGCAAGCGUUGUCCGGAAUUAUUGGGCGUAAAGAGCUCGUAGGCGGUCUGUUACGUCCGCUGUGAAAACCCAGGGCUUAACCCCGGACUUGCAGUGGGUACGGGCAGACUAGAGUGUGGUAGGGGAGACUGGAAUUCCUGGUGUAGCGGUGAAAUGCGCAGAUAUCAGGAGGAACACCGAUGGCGAAGGCAGGUCUCUGGGCCACUACUGACGCUGAGAAGCGAAAGCAUGGGGAGCGAACAGG
rnacentral:rRNA from 1 species